AUCUAAUAUUAAGUAAGUCGCUCUGGAUAAGAGCGUCUGCUAAAUGACUAAAA
rfam:Salmo salar isolate Sally breed double haploid chromosome ssa13, whole genome shotgun sequence.